rnacentral:rRNA from 1 species
GGUCAGAAGUAGAAGCGGCAACAGCUCAAAUUUGAAAUCUGGCUCUUUCAGGGUCCGAGUUGUAAUUUGCAGAGGGUGCUUUGGUGUUGGCGGCGGUCUAAGUUCCUUGGAACAGGACAUCGCAGAGGGUGAGAAUCCCGUAUGUGGUCGCCUGCCUUCGCCGUGUAAAGCCCCUUCGACGAGUCGAGUUGUUUGGGAAUGCAGCUCUAAAUGGGAGGUAAAUUUCUUCUAAAGCUAAAUACCGGCCAGAGACCGAUAGCGCACAAGUAGAGUGAUCGAAAGAUGAAAAGCACUUUGGAAAGAGAGUCAAACAGCACGUGAAAUUGUUAAAAGGGAAGCGCUUGCAGCCAGACUUGCCUGUAGUUGCUCGCCUGGGCUUUUGCCCGGGUUACUCUUCUGCAGGCAGGCCAGCAUCAGUUUGGGCGGUCGGAUAAAGGUCCCUUUCACGUAUCUCCCUUCGGGGUUAACAUAUAGGGGGGACGUAAUGCGACCAGCCUGGACUGAGGUCCGCGCAUCUGCUAGGAUGCUGGCGUAAUGGCUGUAAGCGGCCCGUCUUGAAACACGGACCAAGGAGUCUAACAUCUAUGCGAGUGUUUGGGUGUCAAGCCCGAGCGCGUAAUGAAAGUGAACGGAGGUGGGAACCCCUCGGGGCGCACCAUCGACCGAUCCUGAUGUCUUCGGAUGGAUUUGAGUAAGAGCAUAGCUGUUGGGACCCGAAAGAUGGUGAACUAUGCUUGAAUAGGGUGAAGCCAGAGGAAACUCUGGUGGAGGCUCGCAGCGGUUCUGACGUGCAAAUCGAUCGUCAAAUUUGGGCAUAGGGGCGAAAGACUAAUCGAACUAUCUAGUAGCUGGUUCCUGCCGAAGUUUCCCUCAGGAUAGCAGUAACGUUUUCAGUUUUAUGAGGUAAAGCGAAUGAUUAAAGGCCUGGGGGGUUGAAACAACCUUCACCUAUUCUCAAACUUUAAAUAUGU